ACAAUAAAAUGCUUCGCUGGGCGCAGCUUGAUACGACUGCAGAGGUCGAACCCUGAACAGUUGGGGCAAGUAUGGACACAACAUUCAAGCUUGAUACAGCUCUGAAUUUGGAUUGUGAUUAAAUAUUUGACACAGCAUAGGUUUCUGACACAGAAAGAAUGUGGUCUAAGAACUUCAAUUUUUUUAAUUUACCUAUUAUGGUCCAAUGUCCAAAAUCAAAAUACAUGGUUAGAUUCAGCAUAUCAAAGAACCCCAUAUAUUCAAUUUUUGUUGAAAUCAAACAAAAUUUAAUUUUGGACCCUUUGGACCUUAAUGUAGACCAAUUUAAAAACGGGACCCAAAAUUAAAAAUCUAAAUACACGGUUAGAUUUGGCAUAUCAAAGAACCCCAAUAAUUCAAUUUUUGAUGAAAUCAAACUAAGUUUAAUUUUGGACCCUUUUGACCUCAAUAUGAACCAAUUUGAUAGCGGGUCCACAAAUAAAAAAUCUAAAUACAUGAUUAGAUUCUGCAUAUCAAAGAACCCCAAGAAUUCAAUUUUUGAUGAAAUCAAACAAAGUUUAAUUUUGGACCCUUUUGACCUCAAUGUGGACAAAGUUGAUAACGGGGCCCAAAAAUCAAAAAUCUAAAUACAUGGUUAGAUUCAGCAUAUCAAAGAACCCCAUAUAUUCAAUUUUUGUUGAAAUCAAACAAAGUUUAAUUUUGGACCCCAAUUUGGAACAACUUGAAAACUGGGCCCAUAAUAAAAAAUCUAAAUACAUGUUUAGAUUCAGCAUAUCAAAGUACCCUAAAAAUUCAAUUUUUGUUAAAAUCAAACUAAGUUUAAUUUUGGACCCUUUUGACCUUAAUGUAGACCAAUUUGAAAACGGAACCAAAAAUUAAGAAUCUAAAUACACGGUUAGAUUCGGCAUAUCAAAGAACCCCAAUAAUUCAAUUUUUGAUGAAAUCAAACAAAGUUAAAUUUUGGACCCUUUGGACCUCAAUGUGGACCAAUUUAAAAACGGGGCCCAAAAUCCAAAAUCUUAAUACACGGUUAGAUUCAGCAUAUUAAAGAACCCCAAGAAUUCAAGAAUAAAACCCCAUUGAAAUUGAUCAAGAAAUAAGCAAUUUAUACGAAGUAUCUUCUUUUGCACAAUACUGUGCAAUUGAAUAUUUCUUGCUAUUGUGCAAUUAUGUACAAUUGACAAUUUCUUGCUAUUGCGCAAUAUUGUGCUAUUGGAUAUUUCUUGCUAUUGCGCAAUACUGUGCAAUUGAAGAUUUCUUGCUAUUGCGCAAUACUGUGCAAUUGAAGAUUUCUUGCAAUUGUGCAAUACUGUGCAAUUGAAAAUUUCUUGCUAUUGCACAAUACUUAUUAUAUAAUAAUUUACACAUCCUGUUUGGUGUGUAUCUCCUACCAUAUCAUUAUUAUUUGCUUUUAAAUAUUAAUCAGAAAUA